CCUACGGGUGGCUGCAGUGGGGAAUAUUGCACAAUGGGGGAAACCCUGAUGCAGCGACGCCGCGUGAGUGAAGAAGUAAUUCGUUACGUAAAGCUCUAUCAGCAGGGAAGAAAUACUGACCUUACGGUCAGCAGACGGUACCUGAGUAAGAAGCACCGGCUAACUACGUGCCAGCAGCCGCGGUAAUCCGUAGGGGGCAAGCGUUAUCCGGAUUUACUGGUUGUAAAGGGAGCGUAGACGGUGCGCCAAGUCUGGAGUGAAAUGCCGCAGCUUAACUGCGGAACUGCUUUGGAAACUGGCGAACUAGAGUGCGGGAGGGGUAAGCGGAAUUCCUAGUGUAGCGGUGAAAUGCGUAGAUAUUAGGAGGAACACCGGUGGCGAAGGCGGCUUACUGGACCGUAACUGACGUUGAGGCUCGAAAGCGUGGGGAGCAAACAGGAUUAGAUACCCGGGUAGUC
rnacentral:rRNA from 1 species